rnacentral:lncRNA from 1 species
GGCAUGUACACAAGAGACUUGGUACAAAUGUGCCAACCUUCUUUUCCCUGAUCAUGAUAGCUUCUACCGUUACCACAGGGACAUUUGUGCGGCUUGUUCUCCAUCAUGGAGUCCAGGGAGAAGUGCAGCUGAGACCUGCUGAGAAGCGUGGUGAUGCUGGGAACUUCAGGAGCAACCAGGCCUGGCUUGCCAGCCAGCCUGUCCCAGCUCUGCGUCUCUCCAGCUUCCUUCCUAAAUCACCACCACCACCUGCCCUAGGAGUGGAGCCCUUGGGUUGGAGCCAGCUGAUUGGAUGUGAGCUCUAAGGUGAGCGUUUUGCUCAAGAACUGUAGCUGCUAGAAGGUAUAUAACAUCUCAUUCAGAUGCCAGGAAAAGAAGAAGUGGGGUGGAGAUGUUUGUGCAUCUAACGGGUGGGUGGCGGGAAUGACAAUGACAUAAAUCUCCUAAUUCCAUAAGGACGUGGGACUCUCUGCUGACUGGGUCUUAGAACACUGGUAAAUUGUUCCACAGCAGUAGAAAGGGAUGCGGGGUUUUUAGGACACAUCCUAAGGAGAUCCCAUUCUUGUCGGUAUUCCACGUGCAUGCACAGACAACAGCUAAAAGGAAAUGAUGAUACAUGUUGGGGGUGAGGGAGCCAGUCGCUUUUAAUUUAUUCCUUAUACUUCCUGGAUUAUGUGAGAAAAAUUUAAAUAGCACAUAUUAAUUUAAUAAUCAGAUGGGGAAAAAUAGAGAUCUUAGAAGCUGAGAAAGAAAAUCAUUAAGGGUCUAUCCUACAUACCUCUAAGGACUGUGGUCAAUUGAAAUGAUGUAGCUGAAACAAAAGAGUUUUUGAAAGUUGUGCGGUGUCUUAAGAAAACAGUGUGGUAUAUUUUUCUAUNGCAUAUGGAGGUUCCCAGGCUUAGGGUCGAAUCGGAGCUGUGGUGGCCGGCCUAUGCCAGAGCCACCACAACACAGCAUCCGAGCUGCGUCUGCGACCUACACCACAGCCCACGGCAACGCUGGAUCCUUAACCCACUGGGCGAGGCCAGGGAUCGAACCCACAACCUCAUGGUUCCUAGUCGGAUUUGCUAACCACUAUGCCACAACAGGAACUCCAUAUCCUACAUGCCUCUAAGGACUGUGGUCGAUUGAAAUGAUGUAGCUGAUACAAAAGUGUUUUUGAAAGUUGUGCAAUGUUUUAAAGAUACAAUGUGGUGUAUUUUUCUUUUUUCGGGUUUACUUAAAUUUUAUUUAUUUAUUUAUU